CUGUGAAGGAAAGAUGAAAAGCACUUUGAAAAGAGAGUGAAAAAGUACGUGAAAUUGUUAAAAGGGAAGGGUAUUGAAUCAGACUUGGUGCUGUUGUUCAACUGUGUUUUGGCACAGUGUACUCAGCAGUACUAGGCCAAGGUGGGGUGUUUGGGAGUGAAAAAGAAGUUGGAACGUAACUCUUCGGAGUGUUAUAGCCUACUUUCAUAGCUCCUCAGGCGCCUCAGGACUGCGCUUCGGCAAGGACCUUGGCAUAAUGAUUCUAUACCGCCC
rnacentral:rRNA from 1 species